rnacentral:rRNA from 1 species
UAAGUCGUCGGCAGCGUCAGAUGUGUAUAAGAGACAGAACCAGUACUGUGAAGGAAAGGCGAAAAGAACCCCGGGAGGGGAGUGAAAUAGAACCUGAAACCGCAUACAUACAAACAGUAGGAGCCCCUGCAGUGGGGUGACUGCGUACCUUUUGCAUAAUGGGUCAGCGACUUACGUUUUGUGGCGAGCUUAACCGAGUAGGGGAGGCGUAGCGAAAGCGAGUUCGAAUAGAGCGAAGAGUCUCAAGGCGUAGACCCGAAACCAGAUGAGCUAUCCAUGGCCAGGUUGAAGGUGUGGUAACACACACUGGAGGACCGAACCGACUAGUGUUGCAAAAUUAGCGGAUGAGCUGUGGAUAGGGGUGAAAGGCUUAACAAAUCUGGAGAUAGCUGGUUCUCCCCGAAAACUAUUGAGGUAGUGCCUCGUGUAUUGCUCCAGGGGGUAGAGCACUGUUAUGGCUAGGGGGACAUGGCGUCUUACCAAACCAUGGCAAACUCCGAAUACUUGGAAGUAAGAGCACGGGAGACAGAGCACCGGGUGCUAACGUCCGGACUCAAGAGGGAAACAACCCAGACCGCCGUUUAAGGUCCCAAAUAUUGACUAAGUGGAAAACGAAGUGUGAAGGCUAAGACAGUCAGGAAGUUGGCUUAGAAGCAGCCAUCCUUCAAAGAAAGCGUAAUAGCUCACUGAUCGAGUCCUCAUGCGCGGAAGAUGUAACGGGGCUAAGUCAAUAACCGAAAGCGCGGAUUUGCAUGAAAAUGCAAGUGGUAGGGGAGCGUUCUGUAAGCCUGCGAAGGUGGUUCGAGAGGACUGCUGGAGGUAUCAGAAGUGCGAAUGCUGACAUGAGUAACGUUAAAGCGGGUGAAAAGCCCGCUCGCCGUAAGCCCAAGGUUUCCUGCUCUACGUUCAUCGGAGCAGGGUGAGUCGGCCCCUAAGGCCAGGCUGAGAAGCGUAGUCGAUGGGAAGCAGAUUAAUAUUUCUGCACCAUGUGCAAGUGCGAUGGGGGGACGGAGUGCGAAAGAUCAUCCGGGUGUUGGAUGUCCCGGUUUGCGAGUGUAGAAGGCCGACAGGCAAAUCCGUCGGCGGAUCUUCGAGACAAAGCAUCGAGGUUCUACGGAACCGAAGUGAUCGGAAGUGCUUCCAGGAAAAGCCUCUAAGCUUCAGCUUGUACAUGACCGUACCGUAAACCGACACUGGUGGGCGAGUUGAAUAUACUCAGGCGCUUGAGAGAACUCGGGAGAAGGAACUCGGCAAAUUGACACCGUAACUUCGGGAUAAGGUGUGCCUUUGUAGCGUGAAGAGAGAAACACUCGGAGCGUGAAGAGGCCUCAGAGAAUCGGUGGCUGCAACUGUUUAUUAAAAACACAGCACUCUGCAAAGACGAAAGUCGACGUAUAGGGUGUGAUGCCUGCCCGGUGCUGGAAGAUUAAGUGAUGGGGUGAGAGCUCCUGAUCGAAGUCCCAGUAAACGGCGGCCGUAACUAUAACGGUCCUAAGGUAGCGAAAUUCCUUGUCGGGUAAGUUCCGACCUGCACGAAUGGCAUAAUGAUGGCCACACUGUCUCCUCCCGAGACUCAGUGAAGUUGAAAUGUUUGUGAUGAUGCAAUCUCCCCGCGGCUAGACGGAAAGACCCCAUGAACCUUUACUGUAGCUUUGCAUUGGACUUUGAACCGAUUUGUGUAGGAUAGGCGGGAGGCAGAGAAAGCGCAACGCCAGUUGUGCCGGAGCCGACGUUGAAAUACCGCCCUGAUUUGUUUGAGGUUCUAACCGCGACCCGUGAGCCGGGUCCGGGACCGUGCAUGGCAGGCAGUUUGACUGGGGCGGUCUCCUCCUAAAGGGUAACGGAGGAGUACAAAGGUACGCUAGGUACGGUCGGAAAUCGUGCUGAUAGUGCAAAGGCAAAAGCGUGCUUGACUGCGAGACCGACAAGUCGAGCAGAUGCGAAAGCAGGUCUUAGUGAUCCGGUGGCUCUGUAUGGAAGGGCCAUCGCUCAACGGAUAAAAGGUACUCUGGGGAUAACAGGCUGAUACCGCCCAAGAGUUCAUAUCGACGGCGGUGUUU